UUAUCAGACUUGUUACAAGGUUGUUCUAACAAGUUUGAUACAGUCAUGAUAUAACAAGAAUGUUAUAAGGUUGAAGUUUGUAACAAUAUUUUUAUAUCAUGACUGUAUCGGACUUAUUGGAACAACGUUGCAACAAGUACGACAA